GAUGAAGAACGCAGCGAAAUGCGAUACGUAAUGUGAAUUGCAGAAUUCAGUGAAUCAUCGAGUCUUUGAACGCACAUUGCGCCCUCUGGUAUUCCGGAGGGCAUGCCUGUCCGAGCGUCAUUGCUGCCCUCAAGCACGGCUUGUGUGUUGGGCUCCGUCCCCCGAUCCCGGGGGACGGGCCCGAAAGGCAGCGGCGGCACCGCGUCCGGUCCUCGAGCGUAUGGGGCUUUGUCACCCGCUCUGUAGGCCCGGCCGGCGCUUGCCGAUCAACCAAAUUUUUAUCCAGGUUGACCUCGGAUCAGGUAGGGAUACCCGCUGAACUUAAGCAUAUCAAUAAGCGGA
rnacentral:misc_RNA from 1 species